CCAGCGCCACCAGGCGGCCGCGCGGCGUCACUGCAGGCGCAGCCACGUCCCGCCCGCCCCGCGCACCCGCGCCGCGCGCCGCGCGCCGUCGAGGUCCCCGCGUCGCCGCCCUCUGCCUUUCGUAACUCGGCGCGGGGUCUGGGUUUGCAGGGCCUUGAAAACGAGCCCCCGGCGCCUUGCGCCCUCUCUUCCGGCGCUCUGGCCGCAGAUUCGGGUAGCGCCGGCCACCGUGGACCAUUUUUCUUUUUUUCCUGCUUCGCGGCGUUCCAGGAUUUUCUCUUCCGGGUCGCUCUGAGGCACGGUCAGGGGUGCCAGCAUUCCCGGUUUGGCAUUGAACCCUCGGACUCUGCAAACACCAUUGAGGGGAAGCCCCCUUUUGCGCGUGCGCCGCGCCUCCUGCGGCCGGGAGCUAAGUCAGGCUGGCAGGGCCAGGUGGCACAUAAGCUCUGCCUCUGGGUUUCUAUUUGGCGUCAUCCGUGUGCAGAGGCGGCUGAGAUUUCGGCAACACAACAGCCUGGCCUUGACUGCAGCUCCAUCCCCAGCUCGAAUGGAGCUCUUACCCACCCCGACCCCAGCUACAGCAUCCGGUGGAUGGGAGGGGCUGGAAUCAUGCAAACUUGUGCAAGAAAACCAUCAUACAUCACAGCGCGUGUCCUCAUCUUUCAACAAACAUGUAGCAUUCGGAUCCAUAGCCUGGGUCGUGGAAGCUACUCCUUCGGUGACAAUCCCCCUCCUUCUAAAUGUGGUGGAGCUGACAUUGUGAUCUGGGGAGGCAGGUCUUCCUUGAAAACAAACAAACACAGAAACAAAAACUACUGCCUGGUGGCCCUCUUCGUCUGCAUUUUUCCCCCUCCAGAGGUUGCCUAG
rnacentral:lncRNA from 1 species